GGUUGGUUCUGCUGCAGGUGGCCUGCCUCGCGGUCCUGGUGUUUGGUCGUAAGAAACUAAGGUGCAAGCCGCCGGAAAUAAAGUUUUGUAACGCGUGCCGAGAUGUCGCAGUAGUGUCAAGGUUUGCGUUCGAUGAUUGUGAGCCAGGUUACGAAUUGGUCGAUGGAUACUGCGAGACUAAUAAACGCUCCAACCAUUCCCGGCGCAAGCGAUGUUUGCCCGACGAGGGGAAGUUGCCAAAUGGGGGUUGUCGGAAGAAAAAGAGAUCCUUGAAGAGCUGUGCGGAGGUCUCGGAGGACUUGGCAAAGCUACAAACAGUCUGAGGCCGAAUCAAUGUCCAUUGCCGCAAAGUUCGUUCACUUUUCUUCUGUCCAUAAGACACCAAGAUCUAUACUUCUUAUAGUAACAGCAUUCAGAAAUCACAUUUGAUCAUUGUUAUUUACAAAAUUAAAGAUAUAACUAAAUGUGGAUGCCGAAACUGACACAUUCGAAAUAUCCGAAGACUCGGAACAAAAUAUUAUCACAGCCAAAUGGCUUUGAUAUUUAUUCAGUCACUUGAAGGAACUCUUGAAAAAACUCCACCGUCGAACUCGAAUUAUGCACUUCCGUGGAUUAACGCUUUGCUUAGUCAUUACCUAAAACCUUGGACCAGCCAAGCCAGCGAUAAGUCAACGAUAAGUAAACAAGCCAAUUUCCCUAAAGAACGGCACUAAAUCUAAAUCUAACUCUAAAAAUAUAUUGUACUGAUUAUUAA